UGGUGGAGUGAUUUGUCUGGUUGAUUCCGAUAACGAACGAGACCGCGGCCUGCUAAAUAGCGCGCCGGAUCUUCGCGAUCCGGCGUCCUUUUCGCUUCUUAGAGGGACGUCCCGUUCUCAGCGGGAGGAAGUUCGCGGCAAUAACA
rnacentral:rRNA from 1 species